CGAUGGGAUGCUUCUUCGUCUUGCGUGGCGAGAUUCUUAUCAUUAAUCAGGGGCCUCGUCAAUAAAUGUCAGCAUUGUGAAAUUUCAAUUUCACACCGAAACAACCUCGACAUUGCCAAUUGUCACUGUUAUCGUUAUCGCUUGGCUUCUAUCGGCGGCUUGACAUCUUUAUUGGGCCAAAAGGAGCAGUUGGCAGUUGGAAAUCGCUUGGAAUAAAGAAGAUAGUACUACCACUUAAAGUUAACUUCUUGCUACCCUGACCAUUGAUAAUCGGCCAAAUCGUCGAGUAAUUAAUCAUGGCUAAAGGCUGAAAAUUGACGAGAGAAGCCAGUUGAAAACGGGCCACACCCUUUGGCCAAUACCAAUGCACUGGCACACACAUACAUAUACGCGGGCCACACAUGGAGCUCACAUUAUUGAACACACGCGAGACAAGGCGAAGCCAACAAUUGCCCACCCACCGCCCCCGAAAAACCCACCGAUCCGCACCCCUUCCUUGGCCCACUUGGUAGCCACAAUUGUGAAACUGGCGAAACGGGCUGAGGCUUUGCAAUUAGGAGGAGCCACGAAGUCCUCGUCGAGCCAUCGUCCUCGUCAUCGGUCGUCGUCUAAACAGAGAAAAGAGAACAUAAUCCAGAAGUUGGGGGGAAUAUGCACUGGCAGAAAAGGCCACGUAAAACAUGUGGAAAAUGCAAGUAUCAAGAAAAGCGAGCCAAAUACACGAAGAACAACAAAUCCUUGA